GAUGAACGCUGGCGGCGUGCUUAACACAUGCAAGUCGAGCGAGAAGUUUUGAAAAGAUUCUUCGGAUGAAAUUUAAAAUGGAAAGCGGCGGACGGGUGAGUAACGCGUAGGCAACCUGCCCCAUACAAAGGGAUAGCAUUUGGAAACGAAUAUUAAUACCUUAUGAAACUUAACUAGUGCAUGCUAGGUAGGUCAAAGAUUUAUCGGUAUGGGAUGGGCCUGCGUCUGAUUAGCUAGUUGGUGAGGUAACGACUCACCAAGGCGACGAUCAGUAGCCGACCUGAGAGGGUGAACGGCCACAUUGGAACUGAGACACGGUCCAAACUCCUACGGGAGGCAGCAGUGGGGAAUAUUGCACAAUGGGGGAAACCCUGAUGCAGCAACGCCGCGUGAACGAUGAAGGCCUUUGGAUCGUAAAGUUCUGUUCUAGGUGAUGAAAACUGACAGUAACCUAGGAGAAAGCCCCGGCUAACUCCGUGCCAGCAGCCGCGGUAAUACGGAGGGGGCAAGCGUUAUCCGGAAUUAUUGGGCGUAAAGGGUACGUAGGUGGCCUUUUAAGCGUAGGGUAUAAGGCAAUGGCUCAACCAUUGUUCGCCCUAUGAACUGGAAGGCUUGAGUGCAGGAGAGGAAAGCGGAAUUCCUAGUGUAGCGGUGGAAUGCAUAGAUAUUAGGAGGAACAUCAGCGGCGAAGGCGGCUUUCUGGACUGCAACUGACACUGAGGUACGAAAGCGUGGGGAGCAAACAGG
rnacentral:rRNA from 1 species